CCUCCUCCAAUCGGGUGUGUUCAUGAUUUGACCCAGGUCGCCCUCCUCCUUCACCUCAUUGCUUCACAAUGUCUUCACCUACUCAGACCUUCGGCUUCCUCCUCAUCUGGUUCUCAUAUCAGAUCCUGAUGGGAGCAGCAGCAAAAACCUGCAGGAUGCCGCGAAUGAUGAUCCUGCUUCUCCUCAUCUUGCCUCAGUAUCAAGCCAAGAGCGUGCAAUUUCAACCAACUGAUCCCAAAAUAGUCAACACGGCAGACAAAGUGGAGUUCCACUGUCGUCACGACGACAGCGGUCUAAACGUUAUGCUCUGGUACCAGCAGACAGACACCGGUGCUAUGGAGCUGAUAGGAUACAGCUACGUCGGGAGUGAAGCGGUCUAUGAGAAAGCCUUUGAAAGCAGGUUCAGGAUUACAAGACAAGACACCCAGACAGGAGGCCUGAACAUCGACGACGCCUCUGCCUCAGACUCCGCCGUGUAUUUCUGCGCUGGCAGUACACAGUGAUGUGGUUUAAUGAAACCUCAUGACUAAAAGUCCUACCCGUUUCAGAAAGCUUCAAGUUGGGUUGUCUUUGUCUAAUGAUUACCGAUUUCUGUGGAAUCACUCAACUGUAUUUGAGAUUUUUGUAAUUUUUCCUUCUAUGUUCUUUUCGUUUUCAUUAUUUUACUUUUACAAACUCAAACGACUGCAAUGUUGAAUUUACCUACAUUUUUGGAAAGACGAUCAGUGUGAAAAUCCGUCUGUCCGUCCGUUCAGGAUGGGCUCUUACAUUUCUUGACGUUUAUGACGUUUCACAGGAGAGCUAUUUUCUAAACAUGGACACUGCCGUCUUUUUUCCCCCUUCUUUCCAUCAUGCUACUAUUAGCCGUGUUUCCAUUUCAAAUGUUUUUAAAACUUUGUCAAUAUUCUGUUGUUGUCAAAAAACCACAAUUUAGCAAUUCCUGUUGCCAUUAAGUAAGAAACGCAAUUAAAAUCACACAGAAUAAGUUUGUUCACGGCAUGAUCCUCAAUCCACUACUGCUUGACCUCUUCUUCAUGGUUGGCGCCAGUGACAACAUCCGGUUGUUGAGCAUGUGACUCGUAAUGCAAACAAUUAUUUUGUGUGAAAUAAACCGAUUUCAAUUUGGCCAAAAAACCCUACCUCAUCCCAGCGCCAAAACCUUUUGUCAAAAAACAAGAGUUCUUUCCAAACUGCCGUGUUUCCAUUGAGCAAACUUAUUUUCGACAUGCCACAGAAAUUGACUGAGGGAGGAAUUAUGUUUUCACAUAAAAGCCAUGUUGGCUUGAAUAGUUUUUUAUCCCUUUAACGAAUCAAAUUAACAUUCAAAAACUGCACUUAUUUACAGAGUUUAUCUUUGAUUACCUGAUGGUCUGACAGGAAGCAAAAACAUCAGAAAUCUGCAUCACAUUCCACAUAUUGAUAAAUUACAGACGUGUGUGAACUCCAAUUGGAUUAACAACCGGAUUGUUAAUCCAAUUCCUGAACUAGAAAUCCAGGAAUUGUAAAUUGUGACACUGACUGGCGACAUGUGAUCCUGUGACCUCCUCCUUCUUCUUCUUCUUCUCUUUCCUCUGAACAGAACGGCUCUUCCUCACUCAGCUCAGCGCUCCUCCUCAGGCAACAUGCUGAUCACAGCUCUUUAUCUGUCUCUGCUUUCACACUUAGGUCUCACUGGUGAAGUCCUCCAGCCUGCAGAUGUCAUUUCUCACCAAGGAGACAAUGUGACGGUGGAGUGCUUGUUGGGAAAACGUUCCAUGACUCAGUUAACCAUGUGCUGGUAUCAGCAGAAGCACCGCGGAGCUCCGGUCGAGUUCAUCCUCAGAAAGGACCAGACGAACGCCGGACGCUUCCAGUUGUUUAUCGAUCACGAACAAAACAGCUUCACUCUUCGCAUGUCUGGGCUGCUUGUGAACGACAGCAGCACCUACUACUGCGCUGCCCGUCACAGUGAUGCAGACAAACCACGACCUCGUGCAAAUAGCGUAUCAGAGGAACGCAGGAAGGAGCUACGAUAGGUUUGGUUUGGUCUUUGAGCUACGCACUAGUGGUGGCCGAUAUGGACAUGAAUAUUCUGUGGUAUUAUUGUUGUCACAAUAAAAGUGAUAAGAACUA